rnacentral:rRNA from 1 species
AAAACACCUAGCUGUGCCACACCCUCACGGGACCCAGCAGUAAUAGACAUUAAGCAAUGAGCGCCCACUAAUAACUUUAUCCAAGCUCGACUUAGUUAUGAUUCAACAAGGCCGGUAAAUUUCGUGCCAGCCACCGCGGUUAUACGAAAGACCCAAAACAAUAGUAUACGGCGUAAAACGUGACUAGAGCUAAAAAUAUUAAAUGAGACCUAAACCCCGGCUAAGUUAUAAAACACAAAAAGCACGCUGGACAACCCACCAAAUCUCAAUCAAUAUUACUCCUUGACCUCACGAAAACCAAGAAACAAACUGGGAUUAGAUACCCUACUAUGCUUGGCCGUAAACCCAGACAUUACGUACCACACAAUGUCCGCCAGAGUACUACAAGUGAAAAACUAGAAACUCAAAGGACUUGACGGUGUCCCACAUCAACCUAGAGGAGCCUGUCCUAUAAUCGAUACCCCACGAAAAACCUCACCCCUUCUGGCAAAACAGCCUAUAUACCGCCGUCGCAGGCCUACCUUAUGGAAAGACAUCAAAUAGGCAAAACGUAAAUCCUACAAAACGUCAGGUCAAGGUGUAGCAUAUGAGGGGGCAGAGAUGGGCUACAUUUUCUAAAAAGAAAACACUACAACACCCUGAAACA